GAGUUUGAUCCUGGCUCAGGACGAACGCUGGCGGCGCGCCUAACACAUGCAAGUCGAACGGAGCUGAGAGGAGCUUGCUUUUCUUAGCUUAGUGGCGAACGGGUGAGUAACGCGUGAGUAACCUGCCCUGGAGUGGGGGACAACAGUUGGAAACGACUGCUAAUACCGCAUAAGCCCACGAUCCGGCAUCGGAUUGAGGGAAAAGGAUUUAUUCGCUUCAGGAUGGACUCGCGUCCAAUUAGCUAGUUGGUGAGGUAACGGCCCACCAAGGCGACGAUCCAUAGCCGGCCUGAGAGGGUGAACGGCCACAUUGGGACUGAGACACGGCCCAGACUCCUACGGGAGGCAGCAGUGGGGAAUAUUGCACAAUGGGGGAAACCCUGAUGCAGCGACGCCGCGUGGAGGAAGAAGGUCUUCGGAUUGUAAACUCCUGUUGUUGAGGAAGAUAAUGACGGUACUCAACAAGGAAGUGACGGCUAACUACGUGCCAGCCGCCGCGGUAAUUC
rnacentral:rRNA from 1 species